CGGGACUCUGAUAGCUUACAUUAGCAAGCGGCAAAUUGUUUUAACAAUGUGAGGGCCGCCUUUGUGUCGAGAUAAUGAUGAUAUCUCUUUUCUGCGGCGCUACAUGCUACUAAGGUGCUGAGGACUCCUGACCCUCUGCUCCACUUCUUCCAUUAGCAGCAUGACAGCUCCACGGCCUGCCAUACGCACAUGGGCCCAAGGCAAAGGAGAAGACAAAUGUCAGUCGGGAGGAUGGGGAAAGGUUACAGGGAAGCCAAGAGCCCAGUGCUGUUAAUUUGCUCCCUGGGGUUCAAGGAGUGGUUCAGCAAACUCUGGAGAUCUUUCCAAACUACCAAAUCCUGAAGCUGCAUGUUGUCGUCUAUAAAGAAGAACCUGAAAAACAGUCGUGUUUGUGUCAUGUAUAUGAAGAAUCUGGAUAGAAACAAAAUCAUCUAGAAUAUUUUCUUUAGUAAUUUUGAAAAAAUAUGUAGUAAGCACAAACACCCCAGACCUGGCCAAUAAUUUUCUUUAACUUAUGAAUAAAUCAAUGAAUCAUGAUUAGUCAUAACUUUAAAUACUGAUUAAUGUGUUUGAAGCCUUGAAUGUAA